UCUUCGGUAGUAUAGUGGUUAGUAUCCGCAUCUGUCACAUGCAAGGCCCGGGUUCAAUUCACGGCCGGGGAA
rfam:Angiostrongylus cantonensis strain Taiwan genome assembly, scaffold: ACAC_scaffold0004295